rnacentral:rRNA from 1 species
AUUGAACGCUGGCGGCAGGCCUAACACAUGCAAGUCGAGCGAGUGGCGGAAGGGUGAGCAAUGACUGGGCAAAUGCCUGAGGGAGGGGGCUAAGUAAUGGGAACGGUAGCUAAUAACGCAUAAUAGAAGAUGUGCCCAGGUGGGAUUAGCUAGUGGGUGGGGUAACGGCUCACCAAGGCGACGAUCCCUAGCUGGUCUGAGAGGAGGAACAGGCACACUGGAAGUGAGACACGGUCCAGACGCCGACGGUAGGCAGCAGGGGGGAAUAUUGCACAAUGGGCGCAAGCCUGAUACAGCCAUGCCGCGUGUAUGAAGAAGGCCUUCGGGUUGUAAAGGACUUUCAGCGGGGAGGCGUUACCCGCAGAAGAAGCACCGGCUAACUCCGUGCCAGCCGCCGCGGUAAUAC